rnacentral:rRNA from 1 species
GACAGAGGCCUCGAGCGUUAGGCGGAAUCACUGGGCUUAAAGCGUGUGUAGGCGGACCUCUAAGUACCUUGUGAAAUCCCACGGCUCACCCGUGGAACCGCUGGGUAUACUGGGGGUCUUGGGCCAUUCAGGGGCGACUGGAACAAGCGGUGGAGCGGUGAAAUGCGUAGAUAUCGCUUGGAACGCCGACGGUGAAAACAGGUCGCUGGGAAUGUACCGACGCUGAGACACGAAAGCCAGGGGGAGCAAACGGG